UUAUUUUUUUCUUAAUUCAUUUUUUUUCCCUUGGUAUAACUUGGAACAAAUUUUUUUUCCCUUGGUAUAACUUGGAACAAAUUUUAUUUUUAAAAAGAAAAAAAAGGAAAAUAAUGGUCCACAGCUCCUACCCUCACCCCCAUGAGCCCAUCCCCACCACAAGGACAAGCUUACAGUUCCUGAAGGUGAGGCCAACAGCUGCUGAGGAGCAAGGACUCGUUCCAGCUGCUUCUAAACAAGGGGGCCAGGCCUCUGCCAGAGCCUUCUCCUUCCUGCCCUGUGUCAAGCUAUCCAAGCUUCCUCCUCAACCUUUACCCUGCCCUAUGCCCUGAAACUACCUGACACGUAUUUUCCUCUUGUACUUAAUUGAUAGUAGAAUUUCCCUCAUACAUGUCAAGUACUAUAAAUUCCCCUAGAACACAUCCCAUGUCUUCCACUGAUGAAGGGGAACACUGCCACAUUAUCAGUGAAUGAAGCUGCUAUCUUGAAAAGGGGUCGGCAUGACAAGUUAUGCUAGACAACUUAUGCCAAUGUAACUGCCCUCACCAGGGAGACACCGUCUUGAGCUUUGCCCCUUUGGCUUCUCCCACACCAGUGGAGCAGUUCACAAGGAGCCUG
rnacentral:lncRNA from 1 species